rnacentral:lncRNA from 1 species
UUAGGAAGGUUGAGAACUGCUUGCUGCUCUAGAGGCAUCCAGACCUGUCUCUCUUUGUGCCUUGUACCCUGACUCACAAAGCCUCUCUCCUUUUAGGAAACGGAUGGCAGAGAAUGAGCUCAGCCGCUCGGUGAAUGAGUUUCUGUCGAAGCUACAAGAUGACCUCAAGGAGGCAAUGAAUACGAUGAUGUGCAGCCGGUGCCAAGGGAAGCAUAGGAGGUUUGAAAUGGACCGGGAACCCAAGAGUGCCAGAUACUGUGCCGAGUGUAACAGGUUGCAUCCUGCUGAGGAAGGAGACUUCUGGGCAGAGUCAAGCAUGUUGGGCCUCAAGAUCACCUACUUUGCACUGAUGGAUGGGAAGGUGUAUGACAUCACAGGUACACUUCUGACCUCUAAAUACAAGAUCUUAUUUCUUCAUUUCAUUUGCUAGGAAUGGAUGUUUUGGGUAAUCGUCUCUUUUUGCAGAGUGGGCUGGAUGCCAGCGUGUGGGCAUCUCCCCAGAUACCCACCGAGUUCCUUACCACAUCUCAUUUGGUUCUCGGGUACCAGGCACCAGCGGCCGACAAAGGGCCACUCCAGAGUCCCCUCCUGCUGACCUGCAGGAUUUCUUGAGCCGGAUCUUUCAAGUACCUCCAGGGCCGAUGUCCAAUGGGAACUUCUUUGCCGCACCUCACCCUGGCCCUGGGACUACUUCAACCUCCAGGCC